ensembl:snRNA U6 U6 spliceosomal RNA
GUGCUUGCUUUGGCAGCACAGAUACUAAACAUGGAACAAUACAGAGAAGAUUAGCAUAGCCCUUGUGCAAGGAUGACACACAAAUUUCAUGAAGCGUUUCAUUAAAAA